UACGUAGGGGGCAAGCGUUAUCCGGAUUUAUUGGGCGUAAAGAGCGUGUAGGCGGCCAGGUAGGUCAGCUGUGAAAACUCGAGGCUCAACCUCGAGACGCCGGUUGAAACCAUCUGGCUAGAGUCCGGAAGAGGAGAGUGGAAUUCCUGGUGUAGCGGUGAAAUGCGCAGAUAUCAGGAAGAACACCCGUGGCUAAGGCGGCUCUCUAGUACGGUACUGACGCUGAGACGCGAAAGCGUGGGGAGCGAACAGG
rnacentral:rRNA from 1 species